rnacentral:rRNA from 1 species
GACGAACCGUGCGAACGUUGUUCGGAAUCACUGGGCUUAAAGGGCGCGUAGGCGGCUUGCCAAGUCGGUGGUGAAAUCCUGCAGCUUAACUGUAGAAGUGCCUCCGAUACUGGCGAGCUCGAGGGAGGUAGGGGUCUGUGGAACUUCUGGUGGAGCGGUGAAAUGCGUUGAUAUCAGAAGGAACGCCGGUGGCGAAAGCGACGGACUGGACCUCAUCUGACGCUGAGGCGCGAAAGCUAGGGGAGCAAACAGG